GUACCUCUCGAAUAAGCCACGGCUAACUACGUGCCAGCAGCCGCGGUAAGACGUAGGUGGCAAGCGUUACUCGGAAUUACUAGGCGUAAAGCGCGCGUAGGCGGAAUGUUAAGUCUGUUGUGUAAUCUCUGGGCUCAACCCAGAAACUGCAACAGAAACUGGCGUUCUUGAGUGAGGCAGAGGAAAUCGGAAUUCCUAGUGUAGCAGUGAAAUGCGUAGAUAUUAGGAGGAACACCGGUGGCGAAGGCGGAUUUCUGGGCCUUUACUGACGCUAAAGUGCGAAAGCUAGGGGAGCAAACGGGAUUAGAUACCCCGGUAGUCCUAGCCGUAAACGAUGAUAACUAGGUGUGGGAGGUAUCGACCCCUUCCGUGCCGCCGCUAACGCAUUAAGUUAUCCGCCUGGGGAGUACGGCCGCAAGGUUAAAACUCAAAGGAAUUGACGGGGACCCGCACAAGAGGUGGAGUAUGUGGUUUAAUUCGACGCUACGCGAAAAACCUUACCUGGGCUCGAACGACUGGUGGUAAGACUUAUGAAAGUAGGUCUGACCCGCAAGGGAGCCAGCCGAGGUGCUGCAUGGUUGUCGUCAGCUCGUGUCGUGAGAUGUUGGGUUAAGUCCCGCAACGAGCGCAACCCCUAUCCUGUGUUGCCUAGCAAUAGGAUCUCUCAGGAGACUGCCGCGGAUAACGUGGAGGAAGGUGGGGAUGACGUCAAAUCAUCAUGGCCUUUAUGUCCAGGGCUACACACGUACUACAAUGGUAUAGACAGAGGGUAGCAAUACCGUAAGGUGGAGCCAAUCCCUAAACUAUGCCCCAGUUCAGAUUGUGGGCUGCAAUUCGCCCACAUGAAGCCGGAAUCUCUAGUAAUCGCAGAUCAGCACGCUGCGGUGAAUACGUUCCCGGGUCUUGUACACACCGCCCGUC
rnacentral:rRNA from 1 species